rnacentral:piRNA from 1 species
UGAAAACUGCAACUGAAUGGUGACUAGAU